rnacentral:rRNA from 1 species
AUUGAACGCUGGCGGCAUGCCUUACACAUGCAAGUCGAACGGCAGCACGGGUGCUUGCACCUGGUGGCGAGUGGCGAACGGGUGAGUAAUAUAUCGGAACGUACCUUAUUGUGGGGGAUAACGCAGCGAAAGCUGUGCUAAUACCGCAUAAUCCCUAAGGGGGAAAGCGGGGGACCGUAAGGCCUCGCGCAAUUAGAGCGGCCGAUACCUGAUUAGCUAGUUGGUGAGGUAAAGGCUCACCAAGGCAACGAUCAGUAGCUGGUCUGAGAGGACGAUCAGCCACACUGGGACGGAGACACGGCCCAGACUCCUACGGGAGGCAGCAGUGGGGAAUUUUGGACAAUGGGGGCAACCCUGAUCCAGCAAUGCCGCGUGAGUGAAGAAGGCCCUCGGGUUGUAAAGCUCUUUUGUCAGGGAAGAAACAGCAGCUCUAACACAGUUUGCGAAUGACGGUACCUGAAGAAUAAGCACCGGCUAACUACGUGCCAGCAGCCGCCGUAA